rnacentral:miRNA from 1 species
GAUAUGUGUGUGUGUGUGUGUGUGUGUGUGUGUACACACACACACACACACAAAAACAUAUG